rnacentral:rRNA from 1 species
UAGGGAAUAUUGGACAAUGGGCGCAAGCCUGAUCCAGCCAUGCCGCGUGGAUGAUGAAGGCCUUCGGGUCGUAAAGUCCUUUUCUGAGGGAAGAACAUCCUGGGUAGGAAAUGCUCCAGGUUUGACGGUACCUCAGGAAUAAGCAACGGCCAACUCCGUGCCAGCAGCCGCGGUAAUACGAAGGUUGCAAGCGUUGUUCGGAAUUACUGGGCGUAAAGGGAGCGCAGGCGGCUUGGUCAGUCUGAAGUGAAAGCCCGGAGCUCAACUCCGGAAGUGCGUUCGAUACUGCCAAGCUUGAGUUCGGGAGAGGAGAGCGGAAUUCCAGGUGUAGCGGUGAAAUGCGUAGAUAUCUGGAGGAACACCGGUGGCGAAGGCGGCUCUCUGGCGCGAAACUGACGCUGAGGCUCGAAAGCAUGGGGAGCGAACG